AUUGAAAGCUGGAGGCAGGGCUAACACAUGCGAGUCGAGCGAGCGGCGGACGGGUGAGUAAUAUCUGGGAAACAGCCUGAUGGAGGGGGAUAACUACUGGAAACGGUAGCUAAUACCGCAUAGCAUGAGAUGUGCCAAGAUGGGAUUAGCUAGUAGGUGGGGGAACGGCUCACCUAGGCGAGGAUCCCUAGCAGGUCUGAGAGGAUGACCAGCCACACUGGAACUGAGACACGGUCCAGACUCCUACGGGAGGCAGCAGUGGGGAAUAUUGCACAAUGGGCGCAAGCCUGAUGCAGCCAUGCCGCGUGUGUGAAGAAGGCCUUCGGGUUGUAAAGCACUUUCAGCGGGGAGGCGUUACCCGCAGAAGAAGCACCGGCUAACUCCGUGCCAGCAGCCGCGGUAAUUC
rnacentral:rRNA from 1 species